rnacentral:rRNA from 1 species
AUACGUAGGGGGCAAGCGUUAUCCGGAUUUACUGGGUGUAAAGGGAGCGUAGGCGGCAAGGCAAGUCUGAUGUGAAAACCCGGGGCUCAACCCCGGGACUGCAUUGGAAACUGCUUAGCUAGAGUGUCGGAGAGGUAAGUGGAAUUCCUAGUGUAGCGGUGAAAUGCGUAGAUAUUAGGAGGAACACCAGUGGCGAAGGCGCUUCUCUGGACUGUAACUGACGCUGAGGCUCGAAAGCGGUGGG